AAAAAUAGUUCGGAACAAGCUGUAGCUGCUAACUAUAACUUAAGUGGUUCAACUCCAUUUUAUUUUUU